rnacentral:lncRNA from 1 species
AUGAGUCAGUGUGAGGAGACUGAGGAGGUAGUCGAUCCUCCUGAAACCUCUCUGUGUGAACAACAUGGCCGCCAGACUGAAGCUCAGAGAGUUCCUCUGAAACCUAAAGCUUCCACUGGAUCCGAAUGUUUGAGUUAUUGGUCACAAGAUCACAUCAAUGCAGAAGUGGAGUCAGGGGUGGACUACAGUUCUUCCUCAGAGGAUGAGGGUGUUGUGCCAGAUGAUGUUGAUCAGUUGCAGUCUGAGAAAGAAAGAUCAGGUCAAUGGGACAUUGAUUUCAGGAGGGAUCAGUCAAAGGAAGACAUCAAUGUCAAAGAGAAACGCUCUUCUGUCAGGAAGAAGCGGAAGAAAACAUUCCCAGACAGGCCAGGAUUCAGUUUCCCUAUGGAGCGCUACAGGCCAACAUUCAGACAUGGAUUAUCAGCCAACGUCCUUUCUACAGUGUCGUGGUUGCAGGAACAUCAUGAAUGGAUGUUGGAACCUCAGGAUCUUGAGAGCUACUGGUCAACAGACAGCACUGGAUCAUGGGACAUGGAAACAGGAACAGAGUCCUCUGGAUCCAGUGUGUCCUUCAAGAGUGAUCGGUCAAAAGAAGAAAUCAUCUAUUUCAGAAAAAGACUCUCUCGUCUCAGGUCAGCUUUUAUGAACAAUGGUCUUUAUUAA